CCCUGCGGCUACACCCCCCUGAAAGAGCCUGAUCUUGUCUGAUCUCAGAAGCCAUGCGGGGCCGACCCUGGUUAGUACCUGGAUGGGAGACCACCUGGGAAUACAAGGUGUUGUAGUCUUUUUCCAGGUCAAAAUUUUGCAGGUUUUUUCUUCAAAGUCUUCAUAGAAGCUU
rnacentral:rRNA from 1 species